UAAUUGUUUGCACGGAACCCUUACCAAAGGAUUUGGUGCCUAGAAUUAUUGCCCUUUUAUGGUCUUGAAGUGCACCAGCCACAAUUUCUGAUGCGCUCGCCGAACCACCAUUGAUUAAGACGACAAUAGGUUUGCCUUCAACUAUAUCACCGGGUCUGGCGUUAUACCUUUGGUGUUCUUCUUUCCUUCGAGAACGCGUUGAAACAAUCUCCCCUCUCUCUAGAAAUGAGUCUGAGACAGCAAUCGCCUGGUCUAAAAGACCACCUGGAUUAUUUCG
rnacentral:ncRNA from 1 species